CGUCAGGAAAUCGCUGAAUUCCCUCUUUGUGCCCAUUUAGUGUUUAUUUAUGCAAACACAAACACAUGUGAAUUUAUGUUCUUCAUUCCUUGACACUACUUAUACAGAGCAGAUCAAUGCUGAUUUUUGUUUCUAGUUAACGUGUUAGCCCCGAGGUCUUUCACAUCAGCGUUUAGAGAGACUCCUGAGCUCAAUUGCUCAGUCAUGUUCAACUCUUUGCAACCCCAUGGAAUGUAGCCCACCAGGCCCCUCCGUCCAUGGGAUUCUCCAGGCAAGAAGACUGGAGUGGGUUAGAGAGACUCUACGUAAUGUAUAUUUUAUUCACUUGUCCUUUCCCUGUAUUUCCUUUACCAUUUCAUUGUGAAAUAUGAGACACAUUCAGGAAGGUGCGUGUCCUGAGCGGCCAUCUCCCCAUCACAGAAUCCUCCUGACCCCCACCCCCCGGGCCUGGCUCCAUGGUGACCACAACCCUGCCCGUGAUUCCCACACAGAGGUUCAGUUUUCCCUGUGAGCUGAUGUUCGGGUCAACGGGGUCAUGUGUGCCCUCAGCAUCUGCUGCUCCUCUCAGCCCCGUGUGUGUCCUGCACAAGGCCGUCCUAGGGUGGUGCCCUGCUGAGCCGCAGCACCCCAGUUCCCUCACAGCCCUGUGGCAGUUUGGAGGAGCCCCGGUUCUCACUGCUGACAGCAGAGUGUGUCCUCAGCUCUCUGAUGCUGGGAUAGGGGCAGAGGAGACUCUCACCUGUUGCCUGUCUGGGAACCAUUUACCUCCACCUGAGAACAGGGUUCCCCGAGCAGCCACAGUCAUGGCCUAAGCAUCCCCACUGACCCACAGCCCCAGGGCAUUAGCUGAGGUAGCCCCUGGAGUCUUAGGGAGAGAUACCGCAGGUGACUGUGGGUGAUUCAGGAAUGAAGUAAAUGCCAACUGCCCCACCAUGAGACAUUGUGGCUGGUUGUUAUGUAGCAGGAGCUGACAGAUACACUUUCCAACGCACCUCUAACUUCUGUUACAUCUGAGGGUGACUGUCUUGUCAUAUUAACGAUGGAUUUUCUUUUCUGUGGUCUGUUCACAUGUGUAGCCUGUUUAUCUAGUCUGUCCAGUCCUAAAUAUCCAUCAACCUCCAGCUCCUUCCCAGGGGCGGGGUCUCCCCACCUCAGCUGCUCCUACUAUAGCAGCCUCUGGCUUCCAGGACAUUCCCAUUAAAAGUAAUUUCAAAACAUCACCACACCCUGAAAUUCCUUCCAGACGGGCUAUGCACAUGGGAAAACCAAAAAGCAUGUGUGCACUUGUUAGGUAACCAUGCAGAAUAUUGAGAGAAAAUGAUGUAGAGGGUCUGUCCUCCUGGAGCAAGGCAGAGAGCCCAGUAUACUUUAUAGGGAAAUUAAAAACCUGUUUUGGUAAAAGACAUGAUAACCAGAGCAAAUGUCAGGAACCUAUUUGAAGUUAC
ensembl:lncRNA